rnacentral:rRNA from 1 species
AGGAUCAUUCGCAAUGGACGAAAGUCUGACGAUGCGACGCUGCGUGGAGGAUGAAGGCCUUCGGGUUGUAAACUCCUGUCAUGAGGGAAGAGGCGAGGGGACCUAAUACGUUCUUUAGUUGACUGUACCUCAAGAGGAAUGGGCGGCUAACUCUGUGCCAGCAGCCGCGGUAAUACAGAGGCCCAUAGCGUUGUUCGGAUUUACUGGGCGUAAAGGGCGCGUAGGCGGCAGGGCGUGUCAAGUGUGAAAUCUCCGGGCUCAACCCGGAAAGUGCGCUUGAAACUACUCUGCUCGAGGCCGGGAGAGGGAAUCGGAAUAUAGGGUGUAGCGGUGAAAUGCGUUGAUAUCCUAUAGAACACCGGAGGCGAAGGCGGAUUCCUGGAACGGUUCUGACGCUGAGGCGCGAAAGUCGGGGGAGCAAACA